UGGGGAAUAUUGGGCAAUGGGCGCAAGCCUGACCCAGCAACGCCGCGUGAAGGAAGAAGGCUUUCGGGUUGUAAACUUCUUUUCUGAGGGACGAAGAAAGUGACGGUACCUCAGGAAUAAAGCCACGGCUAACUACGUGCC
rnacentral:rRNA from 1 species